UACGUAGGGGGCGAGCGUUGUCCGGAAUCAUUGGGCGUAAAGCGCGUGUAGGCGGCUCGGUAAGUCUGCUGUGAAAGUCCAGGGCUCAACCCUGGGAUGCCGGUGGAUACUGUCGAGCUCGAGUCCGGAAGAGGCGAGUGGAAUUCCUGGUGUAGCGGUGAAAUGCGCAGAUAUCAGGAGGAACACCAAUGGCGAAGGCAGCUCGCUGGGACGUGACUGACGCUGAGACGCGAAAGCAUGGGUAGCGAACAGG
rnacentral:rRNA from 1 species